UACGUAGGCAGCGAGCGUUGUUCGGAGUUACUGGGCGUAAAGCGUGCGCAGGCGGUUCUUCAAGUCAGUGGUGAAAGCCCGGAGCUCAACUCCGGAACUGCCAUUGAAACUGUAGAGCUAGAGUACGAGAGAGGUGAGUGGAAUUCCCAGUGUAGAGGUGAAAUUCGUAGAUAUUGGGAAGAACACCGGUGGCGAAGGCGGCUCACUGGCUCGUAACUGACGCUCAUGCACGACAGCGUGGGGAUCAAACAGG
rnacentral:rRNA from 1 species